rnacentral:sRNA from 1 species
CCCAGUCGUAGCCGAUGUUCCACAGCAG